rnacentral:rRNA from 1 species
ACUCAAAUGAAUUGACGGGGGCCCGCACAAGCAGCGGAGCAUGUGGCUUAAUUCGAUGCAACGCGAAAAACCUUACCUAGAUUUGACAUGCUGGGAAAAGCCACAGAGAUGUGGUGUCCUUCGGGGCUCAGCACAGGUGGUGCAUGGCUGUCGUCAGCUCGUGUCGUGAGAUGUUGGGUUAAGUCCCGCAACGAGCGCAACCCUUGUUCUAUGUUGCCAGCACGUAAUGGUGGGGACUCGUAGAAGACUGCCGGGGUCAACUCGGAGGAAGGUGGGGACGACGUCAAGUCAUCAUGCCCCUUACGUCUAGGGCUGCACACAUGCUACAAUGGGCGGUACAGAGGGCUGCUAAACCGCGAGGUGGAGCCAAUCCCUAAAACCGCUCUCAGUUCAGAUUGCAGGCUGCAACUCGCCUGCAUGAAGUUGGAGUUGCUAGUAAUCCCGGAUCAGCAUUGCCGGGGUGAAUACGUUCCCGGGCCUUGCACACACCGCCCGU